rnacentral:lncRNA from 1 species
AGGACAGCUGUUGAAAAUGUUGUUGCCACUGUGCUUCUAAAUUUAUAAUUAAAGUAAAUCCCCAAACAAAUUCAAUCGAUAUAUUAAUUAUAAGGAUUCAUUUACACAAAUUUCGAGUUGAACAAAAGCUGCUCAGUGAAAUGAUCUAAGGGGCAAUUGGAGCAGAAGAUCAGUAUGACGACCUUCCAGCGGGGCCUGGAUCAGUGCUGCGCAAAGCGCUCUUCAGCAAAGCUUCCUCCUUCCAGUACAUGGGAGCUAACAAGAGACUAACAGAUGGACAAUGUUGAGAGGAUGAAAGACUUUGGAACGCUCGGUCCUACAUGGGAUGUCUUUGCUGAAGGCCUCCUCUCACAGCCAGGAAUCUAUGCAGAGGAUGCAGGAAGUUUGUGAGAGCUGGAGUGAUGGGCAGCUCCAUGGGAACUGUGUUGUCCAGACACAACAGGACCAAUGCACAUACCAGCUCAGAGACUGCAGCAGCACACACAAGACCUGAACAACUUCAGGCCAGACAAGGCUCCAGCACUGAGAACAGAAACUGGACAUGAGGUCUCACCCUAAUUAAGAAGCUAUCUGUAGUUGAUACUGACUGGCAAAAUGAAAAUCAGUUUUCUCCA